UACGUAGGGACCGAGCGUUGUCCGGAAUCAUUGGGCGUAAAGAGCGUGUAGGCGGCUAUUUAAGUCCUGCGUGAAAUCCUGCGGCUCAACCGCAGACGGUCGUGGGAAACUGGAUGGCUAGAGUGCGGGAGAGGAGAGUGGAAUUCCUGGUGUAGCGGUGAAAUGCGCAGAUAUCAGGAGGAACACCAAUGGCGAAGGCAGCACUCUGGGACGGUACUGACGCUGAGACGCGAAAGCGUGGGGAGCAAACAGG
rnacentral:rRNA from 1 species